UUGUGAUCUCAUGCAACUAGUAUAUAUUGUSCUKAUAACUCCSNUWUAUANAKAAAGUUACUUUUUGAMGGACAUKGGGGGGUCGUGAAGACAUUUAUCAGUGAGUUUUUGUUCUCGGAAGGACUAGAUAUGAAUAUUGAAUAAUCAGACAUAGUACGAAAAGGUUGUAUGUCUAAAGGGAAACNGCCCAGAACAAGAGUUAAUAAGGUUCCAAAAUUAUUGUUAAGUGAAAUUAAGGCAGUAUUUAUUCCAAACAGCCAGGCAAUAGGCUUAGAAGCGGCCAUUUUCUGAAGACCUCGNAACAGAGCACUGGUUUUAUUUAUAAUAAGGGUAAAAGCACCGAUAAUUUAACGGAUCUAAACAAUAUACCGAGACCUUGNCUNAAUAUAUUAAUGUUMACAUAUAUUACAUUGCAUAUUUAGGGUAGCAGAACGUUGGUGAAGUUNGUNCANUAUCCCCUUUAUAAGGGNANA
rnacentral:rRNA from 1 species